rnacentral:rRNA from 1 species
AGUGAACGCUGGCGGUAGGCUUAACACAUGCAAGUCGAACGGCAGCACAGUAAGAGCUUGCGCUUACGGGUGGCGAGUGGCGGACGGGGGAGGAAUACAUCGGAACCUACUUUUUCGUGGGGGAUAACGUAGGGAAACUUACGCUAAUACCGCAUAUGACCUACGGGUGAAAGCAGGGGAUCGUCGGACCUUUCUCGAUUGAAUGGGCCGCUGUCGGAUUAGCUAGUUGGGGGGGUGAUGGCGGACCAAGGCGACGAUCCGUAGCUGGUCUGAGAGGAUGAUCAGCCACACUGGAACCGAGACACGGGCCAGACUCCUCCGAGAGGUACGGGUGGCGACAGUUGGGCAAUGGGCACAAGCCGGAUACAGCCAUACCGCGUGGGUGACGAAGGCCUUCGGGUUGUUAAGCUCUUUUGUUGGGAAAGAAGAGCAGCAGGUUAAUCCCCCGCUGUUCUGACGGUACCCAAAGGAUAAGCACCGGCUAACUUCGUG